CCGGUCCCCCCAAAAUCUGACCUGGUCCAUAGAAAAAAACAAAUUUUUUUCCCAGAGCUAGGGCAAUUGCCCAAGCUAGCCGGGCGGUAAAUCCGCCCCUGCGCACAGCAAGUACACGGCUCAAUCUGGGGCAGUGAUGAUGAUCGACUCAGGUUGUCUCAAUCCGAAUCUUUGUUCUACUCUAUCAUGUAACAAGAAAAAAACUUGUUCGAUUCGGAGUAUGUGGUGCCAUCUCAUCGCAAAGUGGCAUCACAAUAUCACUUUCCAUUCUGGUGUGAAUUUCGACUAUACACACUACUUUCUAAUUCUCACCCUUUCUUCUCAUGGAUCUGCCACCACCAUCUUCCCCAGUUUCCUUCACCUUCUCUGAGUUCCUCAGCUUCAGAGGCACCGAUACCCGCAGUAGUUCAGUAGUUACCCACUUGGACACAUGCCGCCAAAAUACGACCAGAUUCGUGGUUGGUAUACGAUUUGGAGCUAGGAUUGAAUAUGGCCUAAGGUUCUUUUGAUUCUUGAUGAGGUUGACAACUGGUGUGCUGCAAGCUAUGGUUGGAGGAUCCGAUUGGUUUGGUUCAGGUAGAGUUAUGGUUGGAGGAUCCGAUUGGUUUGGUUCAGGUAGCAGAAUUAGUGGUUCGACCGAAUGUGAGUCAAUGCACCUUAAAUAAGGAAGAAACGAUUUUGAAUGCGGCAACUUGUGCUUGUGCUCUUCCAUUGGUUUUGGAAGUAAUAGAUUUCAACUUGUCUAGAAAAAGUGGGAAAAAAUAUGAGUAAGCUUUGAUGCUUUGGAGGAAGAGGAGCUAAAUGUUUUCUUGACGUAGCUUGUUUCUUCUAAGGAUAUGAAUUGGCAGAGGUUGAGGAUAUACUUCAUGCUCAUUAUAGUGACAACAUGUAGAGGCUUGUCGGAUGAAUAAUUUGUCAAAGAUUAGUUGUGAUGGUAACAUGACAUUACAUGAUAGGAACAAUGGUAAAGAUAUUGUCUGGAAUCACCGAAAGAGUUUGGGAAACACAUGAAUUCAGGGAUUUCGAGUUCUAGAAGACAAUAUGUUAGUAAGACUGAUAUGAAUGGUCCGGUUUUCAUCUUCAACCUUGCUCAAGUUACACUUGUUUUUUACCCUUUAAUAAUAUGUAAUUUCUCUAAAUAUGCGCAUUUAAGUCUUACAUGUUUUUUUGUUUUUGUUUUUAUGUUAUCAGCGAACUGGUGAAAUAUCCUUCAAAAUAUAUCAUCUCAUUUUAAUACAAAGAAAAUUGCCAUAUGAAAGUUACCUGAUAAUUGCUGAGUCAUUUCAAGUAGCUGGCUUAUUGAAGAAGGCAAGUGUAAUAUUUCCAUUUCUAUUUUCCCCAAUCUUAUAUAUUUAUAAAUUCUCUUCAAGAUGAUUCAUAUGGUUUAUUUGUUUCAUUUCAUUAUUUCUAUGUUUUUUGGUUGAAGUUUCUGAAUUUAGAAAGUUUGAAUCUUGUCUAGUGUUAGUGGUUAACGGAGAUACCUGAUGUAUCUGGUUUGUCAAAUUUAGAAGAAUUCUCAUUUCAGUAUUAUUGGAGCUUAACUAGAAUUCAUAAUUCAGUUGGUUUCCUAGAUAAAUUUAAAAUUGAGUGCUUCUAAUGUGGCAUGCUUUUCCACCCAUCAAGCUGACCUCUCUUGAAUGAAUCGAACUUCCAUGUUGUGAUAGUCUUUGUUUUUCAGAAAUAUUAGGAAAGUUGGAAAAUAUGACAGAGCAUGGGUUGUAGGGAAACUUUACUUGGCUUCGAAAAUUAUGACUGGAGCUAUGUGGAAUGCUUAUUUUUCCAAGUAGCAUUUUUCACAAUGGCAUAACUGGUUAAGAUUACCGCUUUGCAGUGCGGUGGUUGUCUUUCCAAAACAGAGCAUGGGUGAAGAAAAUGAGUUUGGUUGUGUAGAAGCUCUUUAUCUCUCUGACUGCAACGUGUCAGAUGAAUUUUUUUGAAUAGGUCUCGCGUUGUUUGGUAAUAAGAAACAUUUAAACUUGUCACAGCUGUUCCUGGGAGGAUCCGAGAAUUUUAAAACUUGAACUCCAUGAUGCUGGAAACACCAAAUUUUAUUUCCAUAAGAUUCCAGAGUGGUUCCCUGCUGUAGCUCCCUGCUUUGUUAGUAAUCCAAUGGAUAAGAACUCUUUACCAGGGGAUUCCUCUUUCGAAGAUUACUAUUUCAAAGAUUCCAUUACAGUCACUUUGAUUAUGAAUGGCUAUUAAUGUUUUACUUAACAUUCUUGGAUGCCAGCGUAUCAUACAAUGCUUUUUGAUGCAAACUGUAAGAACUGAAGAUGAUCUAGAUGAAGGACUUCUAGAAAUUAAACGGAACCAUGCAAAGGUUGUUUGAGGUUUUGAACAAUCUCCCAAUCCUUGUAAGAAGGGAAGUCCCCAACUCCCCAUGUAUUCAAAGUAAAAUGCAUCUUGAAGGACAUGAUUCACCGAUCCUUAUAGCAAGAGAAAAGUAGAUGAUGAUCUCAAUGGUUCGAAAUCACAAUCAUCCACCACUGAAAAAGUAGAUGAUGAUCUCAUUGGUUCAAAAUCACAACCAUCCACCACUGAAAAAAAUAGAUUCGUGGAUAUAGAAGUUUCGAAGACAAUUUAUGCAGCAGCAACAACGUAUGGCAUUGUUGUCACUGCAACAACAUGGCUUAUUGCCACAGCAAGUCAGCAACAGCGUAUGAAUUUAUUGUCAGUCAUAUGGAACUUGGCAUGUAAUUUAACAAGAGAAAAGGAAUACCACACGGUCAAAGGUGCAUGAUUAUUUUCUUCUUUUAAAAAUUACACGGUACUACUCUUCUAAUUCAAUUUGUUGUUUAAGUAGUCGCAAAGAAUUUGCUUAUGUUAGAAGAACUGAAUGACAAUAGUUUGUGAAUUAGAAUAAAAUACUAUUGUAAGUUCUGAUUUAUGUUAAAUCAGCAUAUUCAAUAAUAGUCUGUGAAGUUGUUUCUAGAAAGGCAAACUUUGGUAUUAAUAGUGUCACUCAAUUACCAAAGACUGAAAGAAACUGGAGUAUUUUUUAGUUACUGAUCUGAAGUUCAAGCCACUCCUGAUUUUACUUCUUGCUGUGUCAAGAUAUGUAGGAUUUAGAAUCGUGAUGACUACGCAAUUAUCUCCUACACCUGGCAUCAGGCUUGCUAUCCUGGAUUCCAAUUACGUUUUUGGGACUUUUUUGUGUUGGAAAUUUAAACUCAAGUUUUUAAUCAUGUGUUGGCAUGUAUGUAUAUUGGCUAAAUUUUAGUAUGGGGACUGAGUUCAUUAUGAGUGUUGUAAGGAUUAUCAUGUGUAUCUACAAU